rnacentral:rRNA from 1 species
UCUUGGUCAUUUAGAGGAAGUAAAAGUCGUAACAAGGUUUCCGUAGGUGAACCUGCGGAAGGAUCAUUAUCGAGUUUGCCGUUGGGGACUGUGCUGGCCUUUGGGCAUGUGCACGUCCCCUUCAUUUCCACACACCUCGUGCACCUCUAGGUGGCCCUCCCGACGGAGGCUGCCUGCUUUUUUACAUGCGCUUUUUCUGUGUAAUAAUGGGAUGUCUUGUCUAAAUAGUAACAACUUUCAACAACGGAUCUCUUGGCUCUCGCAUCGAUGAAGAACGCAGCGAAAUGCGAUAAGUAAUGUGAAUUGCAGAAUUCAGUGAAUCAUCGAAUCUUUGAACGCACCUUGCGCUCCCCGGUAUUCCGAGGAGCAUGCCCGUUUGAGAGUCAUGAAAACACCUCAGCCCCUCAUCGCCUCUGGUGUUUGGGGUUGGACUUGGACGCCUGCUGCGACCUUUUCGGUCUGUGGCUCGUCUCAAACGCAUUAGUCGUCUCCGUUGGACCUCGCCUUUGACGUGAUACACAUCGCCGUCGAGGUUGGGACCCGACUUGAAGGAGCGGCUCACAACCGUCUUCGGACAGCUCUUGACACUUUUGACCUCAAAUCGGGUAGGACUACCCGCUGAACUUAAGCAUAUCAAUAAGCGGAGGAAAAGAAACUAACAAGGAUUCCCCUAGUAACGGCGAGUGAAGUGGGAAGAGCUCAAAUUUGAAAUCUGGCGGUCCACGGCCGUCCGAGUUGUAGUCUAGAGAAGCGUUUUCCGUGCCGGACCGUGUACAAGUCCCUUGGAAUGGGGCGUCAUAGAGGGUGAGAAUCCCGUCUCUGACACGGACUGCCGGUGCUCUGUGAUGCGCUCUCAAAGAGUCGAGUUGUUUGGGAAUGCAGCUCAAAAUGGGUGGUAAAUUCCAUCUAAAGCUAAAUAUUGGCGAGAGACCGAUAGCGAACAAGUACCGUGAGGGAAAGAUGAAAAGCACUUUGGAAAGAGAGUUAAACAGUACGUGAAAUUGUUGAAAGGGAAACGCUUGAAGUCAGUCGCGUCUGCCGGGACUCAGCCUUGCUUCUGCUUGGUGCACUUCCCGGUUGGACGGGCCAGCAUCGAUUUCGACCGGCAGAUAAGGUCUGGGGGAAUGUGGCACCCGUUUGGGUGUGUUAUAGCCCUCGGUGAUAUGCUGGUUGGGAUCGAGGAACUCAGCACGCCUUCAUGGCCGGGGUUCGCCCACGUAACGUGCUCAGGAUGCUGGCAUAAUGGCUUUAAACGACCCGUCUUGAAACACGGACCAAGGAGUCUAACAUGUCUGCGAGUGUUUGGGUGAUUAAACCCGAGCGCGCAAUGAAAGUGAAAUGUUGGGACCCCUCGCGGGGGCACCGACGCCCGAACCAGACCUUCUGUGACGGAUUUGAGGUAGAGCAUACAUGUUGGGACCCGAAAGAUGGUGAACUAUGCCUGCAUAGGGUGAAGCCAGAGGAAACUCUGGUGGAGGCUCGUAGCGAUUCUGACGUGCAAAUCGAUCNUCNAAUGUGGGUAUAGGGGCG